UUGCAAAAAAAUAAAUAGUACAAUGAGCGCUUGGUUUUCCUAAUUUUUCCCGAGAUUGCGCCAUAGUCUAGGGAAAGAAAGAAAACUUUUUCCCUUCCCUAGAACUCUAACGCUCAAAUCCGUCCCCUCUCCCAUCAACUUUGGACCAUCGAAAAAUGGCAAUUUCCGAUGGAUCAUCUCUUCGACCCUGUACACCGUCCAUCAAUCAGCUCUCCUAUGGCUUCACAACUUCUCCUCCUUCCCCAGGCGUUCCUCUUCCCCAUUCCCCUUCACUAUUUCGUCUCAUCAAAGAACCGCUAUGAGCCGCUGGAACACAAUAAUACCCGGCGGUCUCUUGCUUUAUGUCUUUCCCAUCACCUUUUUCUGAUGAAAAACAGACCCCUACGCUGCUACAUCUCUGCUCUAGCCGAGUUUUGUUUCAAAUAUUUUCAAAAUUUGUGGUCUUAAAAAUUUGAAAACUGAUGAUUGAUUUUGAUGUCAAGUUGCAACUCUCUGUUUUCCAGCAUUAUUUUAAUUUUCAAAUUUGAAUUUUGGAUUCUUUCACCUAUAAAAGGAUGGCGUUUUCCCAUCCAAAACCAGAGGGAGAAAGGGACAGAGACAGAUAGAAAAACGAAGGAGAAUCGAUUAUCAUCUAGAAAUCAAUCAUCGAUAUCCGAAAUUCAUCAUGAGAAACAGAUUUUAAAGGUUAUUCUCUUUUGUUCUCUGUUUUCCUUCCUUUCUCGAGUUGAAGCACGAGUUCGAAUUCGAAAUCACUUGACGUCAAAGCUUUUAGUUUGCUGCUCUACGCAAGAUUUUUGUAAGGCCGCAGUGCAGAUUCUAAAGUUGAAGGAAGUGCAGAUUUUUUAGACAAAUAUGCAGAUUUUUAGUUUCAAAAUUGCAGAUUCUCAAGCUUACAAGUUGCAGAUUUUUUUUAGUGUGAAAAUGUUGCUUUAAACUAAGCAGAUUUUUAGUUUAAAACUGCAGGUCUUUUUUUGGUCCAAUACAAGAACCUUUUCUGGGCUGUAAGGUGUAAGAUUUCAGCUUAAAAUGCAGACUUUAAGAGGAAAAACUGUUGCUUUAGACAACCCAGCACUGCAGAUUUUUCUAGUGUGAAAAAUGCAAAUUUAACAUGCUCUGCCAAGCAAAUUAUAGCGUAAAAAGGUGGAGAUUUUAAACUUGAAAAAAUGCAGGCUUUGAGUGGUAACACGUAUAGAUUUUAACAGCCCAACUGCAUUUUUUUUUUUGCGUAAGAAUGUCGACGUUUCCUUGGUUCUCGAACACCAUUUUGGGAUGUAAAAAUAUAAUUUUUUUGGAACUAACCACUAUAUUUUGAGAGUUUAAAAGUUGUAGCAGUUCAAGUUUGAAAGUUCUUAAUAAUACUACUUUCAAAAGGAA